UCUGUUCACGGUGAUGGAUCCCGCCGGAAGGCCUGCGCAGGUGCGCGGUCUUCGAACCGCCACAUGGCUGAUGGUUCCUGCCUUUGA
rnacentral:ncRNA from 1 species